rnacentral:SRP_RNA from 1 species
CCGUGCUAGGCGGGGAGCUAGCGGUGCCCUGUAUCCGCAAACCGCUUUAGCGGAGCUAAAUUCCCCUCCGAGGCUGUGUUGUCGUCGAUUCUAUUCGGUGAUUAUGGUGCCGAUAGAUGGGCCCCGUGCGACGAAAUAUCUCGAAUCCCGUCAGGUCCGGAAGGAAGCAGCGGUAAGAGAAUGUUUUCGGGUGCUGCGGGUAAACCUAUCUUGAGCCGAUGAUCCGUAACAAGGCGUUGGCACACAGUCGAAGUAGGGUGCACGG